UACGGAGGGUGCAAGCGUUAUCCGGAUUCACUGGGUUUAAAGGGCGCGUAGGCGGAACGAUAAGUCAGUGGUGAAAGCCCCGAGCUCAACUUGGGAAUUGCCAUUGAUACUGUUGUUCUUGAGUUCGGUUGAGGUAGGCGGAAUGCUGCAUGUAGCGGUGAAAUGCUUAGAUAUGCAACAGAACACCGAUUGCGAGGGCAGCUUACCAAGCCGAUACUGACGCUGAGGCUCGAAAGCGUGGGGAUCAAACAGG
rnacentral:rRNA from 1 species